UCUCUCUCUCUCUCUCUCUAUAUAUAUAUAUAGGUGUUUAUAUGUGGAGUUAGAGAGAGAGUUGGCUUUUGUCGCGAAUAGGGAAUCGAUUUUGGCGAAACAAAAUCGCAGGUUUGAAGGUCUGGCAGUGCCGAAAGUGCUGGCGUGAUCUGUUCGUAAAUCUGUCAAACCGAUCGUCCGGAAUCGCACGUUGUUCGAGGGUGGGU
rnacentral:lncRNA from 1 species